UAUAAUCGUUACAGCUUUUACGUGUCAUGAUCAAGGAUCAUCCUGCUUGUGUUUUGCUCCUCAACAUCAAUUGUUGAUAUCAUGUGGGAAAAAAGGGGACAUAUGUAUUUUCGAUGUAAGACAAAGGACUCUUAAGCAUCGAUUCCAGAUUGUGUAAUCGAUGAUAUGGACUUGCGUGAACAAUCAACAAGCAAAAGGCUUCGUGCUCCAACCCCAAAUCAUACAACAACUGAAAAAGAAGAUUAUGAGCCUUGGGAGCACUACACAUAAAUGCAGUUGAAAACGCCUAAAAACAAAAAGCUGUGCACUGAAAGUGUAAACAGAAAACACACAAGUUAGGCAAAGCUAGCAGAAAUAAAGUCUAAAUGGACGGAAAGAAAAGUGGAAGAAGAAGUGGAAUUUGCGAAAAUCGAGAACACUUUACGUAUUACCCAAUUGAAAGAAGUACAGUGUGGCGACGAAUAACUGUUACCCAGGUUUUUUUGAGAA